GUUUAUUUCCUUAUUUAUUAUUUUUUCUUCUUGUUUUUUUCGUUUUUUUCGUUUUCCCCUUCUUCUCAUGCAAAGCAACCCACCCAACCUUUCUUCUCCGCGUCGUCCACCACCGACCCAGCCUUCGCGCCGCUCGCCCUCCUUCAUGCCGCUCGUCGCGCCAUUGCUUCCUCCCAACCGCUGAAGUCAACGCCGAGUCACAGAUCUGAGACGCACGUCCUAACUGUCUCAGACGUAGAUCCAGCCGCUCGCUCUCGUCCUCUGUGUCGAAUCCGCCGGAAAAGCCAGAUCUGAAGUGUCGCCUCGCCGUUCGCGACCCGGCAUCGCCCCUCCUUCAGUCGAAUGGAUCCAACUCCCACCAGCCGCUCGCCGCUCGACGGCGAGCUUCAAACGCCUGCCUCUCUCUCUCACUGACCCACGAAUCUAUAGCUUGCCGCCUUCGAUUGCGAGUCGUUGCUACCUAGGUUGUGCGACUUCACUUCGACACCGCCGCCAAGCAGAAUGUCAUCGCCACUCGCCGGAUCUAUUAGUUUGGAUACAAAGUUUGGAGGGAUUUUAAAGUCUUAUGGGUGCUACCGUAAAGUUAUGAGUUUCGUCAAUUUUGGAUGAAUUCAAAGUCUUCCAAGAGUUGUAAGAAGGUUAAUUACUUGGAUUAAUUUGUGACCAAAUUUGAGGUAAGUAAUCUUACUACGGGAAACUGCCCACGGGCCAGGCACUAGAUGUAUGCUAGCAUGAUAAAUGGAUUUUAUAACAGAACAAUAGCAUGAUAGACUGAUAGUAUAGUAUAA